GCUAGUGUGGGUAAGCUCUACAUCAUAGAGCUAGAAGUUUGUGGGGCGAUGCUAAACGGUUUCCCAAACGCACCGAGAAAACAAUUCUUUGCCCAACGACAUACAUAAACACACACUUACCUAAUGCAGUUUACAUCAAAAUUUCAACCUGGUGGUUGAAAACUUCCUCUAUUCUCCGGUAACAGCUUCCGUUUCAGCUCUAGAACUUUCUCUCUUUCUAAAAAACGGGAGAGCAUGUGCUUUUCCGUAAUUAAAACUACAUUUCAACUACAACUCUACGCAAACGUGAAAUUCGCCGCCAUUGAGGUUUUGGGUUCGUUGAGUUUCGUCUGCUGCGGAAACAGGUGGAAAUUUCAAUAAAAUAUGGCGCCGAAAGUGGACCUGGUGUAAGUGUGGGAGGCGUGUGGUGCACCGUAACGAAUCGAUUUCCGCAUUAAUCUGGGUUUUCGGGAGCGCCGUGCUCCGUGGCAGAAGCGUAGUGGAUUUGAAUAGUACGUGAGCAUAAGGAAAUGUGUGUGUAACAGGCAAAAGGUUAUGUUAACAUCCUUUCCUUUACCGUAAAGCCUGCCCCCGUCGGAUCUCUGAAUGUGGCUCCCCGGGCUCCCAAGUGUGACAAAGGUGGUGAGCCUGGCAAAGCAUAAUAUUCAACACGGACCUGUCAAAUCCCAUUGAUUUACGUGCCCCAUCCCAACGAGCAUGGGUUUAUUAAAAACUGUCUGGAAAGAAAAGCGGCGCAUCCAACUUCAAAACGAACAGAAAAAACUGGACCAUGUUUAUCGGAAAACCGUUCUUUUCUCGUGAAUUUUAAGAUGGAAAAGUUGUCCAUAAGGCAACGGACAACUUGUUUGUUACUGAAUAUUUUGUUGAAAUUGUAUGUAACAUACUGUUUGUCAGGCGGUCCCGUGGUAUAGUCGUCAACUCGAACGACUCAAUAACAUGCCCGUCAUGGGUUCAAGCCUGAAAUGAACCAUCACUCCGUUGCAAGGAUUUGUGACUAGCUGGCUUGCGUGGUAAUGAAUUAUGUCUCGAAAGCCUGUAUAAGCCAGGCAUGUUCGCGAAGGACGUUAUACCAAAUAGAAGAAGAAGACUGUUUGUUAGGCAAAUAGGAUUUGUAUCAUUUUUGUAAAACAUAUUUGAAAACCGCUUUAGUACUGCAACUGUGGGAGAUUGGAAAAGGGAUAGCUACAAAAAAAGGAAGCACAAAAGUCACUACCACCAAAAACCGUGACAUAGGACACACAAACAUCACCGUAGGAAACCAUGGAAAUGAGAGUCCGUACCGCCCGUGCCUGCCCGGAAGAGUGCACACGAUUUGCCACUCAUUUUAUCGCUGAUUCCCUGCCCAAAAUAGAAAAAAAUACAGCUUCCCGCGCCUUUCACGACA